GGUCCGAACCCACGAGCGUUGAAAAGCUCGGGGAUGACUUGUGGGUAGCGGUGAAAUUCCAAUCGAGCCCGGAGAUAGCUGGUUCUCCCCGAAAUAGCUUUAGGGCUAGCCUCAAGGUGAGAGAUACGGAGGUAGAGCACUGAAUGUCCUAGGGGGUAUUGCACCUACCGAAGACUAUCAAACUCCGAAUGCCGUCAUCUUAUACUUGGGAGUCAGACUGUGGGUGAUAAGAUUCAUAGUCGAAAGGGCAACAGCCCAGAUCGUCAGCUAAGGUCCCUAAAUGUAAGUUAAGUGGUAAAGGAUGUGGGAUUGCACAGACAACCAGGAUGUUGGCUUAGAAGCAGCCACUCAUUCAAAGAGUGCGUAAUAGCUCACUGGUCGAGUGAUCCUGCGCCGAAGAUUUCCGGGGCUAAAACUUACUACCGAAGCUACGGCAUCAGUAAUGAUGGGUAGGGGAGCUUCCCAUACGGGUUGAAGCAUGACCGUAAGGACAUGUGGACAGUAUGGGAGUGAGAAUGUUGGCAUGAGUAGCGAGAUGUGGGUGAGAAUCCCACAGGCCGUAAACCCAAGGUUUCCAGGGGAAGGUUCGUCCGCCCUGGGUUAGUCGGGACCUAAGCUGAGGCCGAAAGGCGUAGGUGAUGGACAACAGGUUGAUAUUCCUGUACUACCGAUAACCGUUUGAGAGAUGGGAUGACACAGUAGGAUAAGCUAAGCACACUGUUGGUUAUGUGUGCCCAAGCAUUGAGGCAGUCAAAGUAGGCAAAUCCGCUUUGAUAAUGCUGGGAUGUGAUGGGGAGCGAAAUUUAGUAGCGAAGUAGCUGAUUUCACACUGUCAAGAAAAGUCUCUAUCGAGGUUAAAGGUACCCGUACCGCAAACCGACACAGGUGGGUGAGGAGAGUAUCCUAAGGCUAGCGAGAGAACUGUUGUUAAGGAACUCGGCAAAAUGACCCCGUAACUUAGGGAUAAGGGGUGCCACCAUCAGGUGGCCGCAGAGAAUAGGCCCAAGCGACUGUUUACCAAAAACAUAGGUUUCUGCUAAGUCGCAAGACGAUGUAUAGGAGCUGACGCCUGCCCGGUGCUGGAAGGUUAAGGGAAUCUGUUAGAGCAAUCGAAGCAGUGAACUUAAGCCCCAGUAAACGGCGGCCGUAACUAUAACGGUCCUAAGGUAGCGAAAUUCCUUGUCGGGUAAGUUCCGACCCGCACGAAAGGCGUAACGAUUUGGGCACUGUCUCAACAACAGACUCGGUGAAAUUGUAAUUCCGGUGAAGAUGCCGGAUACCUGCGACAGGACGGAAAGACCCCAUGGAGCUUUACUGUAGCUUGACAUUGGGUC
rnacentral:rRNA from 1 species